rnacentral:lncRNA from 1 species
UGGGCGGGGGUGUCCGGAGACAGACUGGGAAAGCCAUCAGAGAAGAGACAGGCACACAGCGGUUUCAGGCUUUAUUAACAAACGGUGUAAAAAACCAGACGGAUCUGGAGGAAGGGACAGGGCUGCCCGUCUCAGCUCUCAACCUUCCCAGAGAGGGGCCAGGCCUGGCAGCCCUGUGCGUCGCGCCUCCUAAGCAGUCAACCUUGUCCCCUCCAAGGACAGGCAUCUGACCCAAUCCAGGUCCCAGGGAGGCGGAGUCGCAAACCCUAACUCUGGGGUGUAUUCUGCUCGGCCUCCUCUCCCCCUCCCCAGAUAGCUCUCCCAGCCUGGGGCACGGACAGCACAGACUUUGCAGACAUCACCCGGGGAGGUUUCUCAGUGCAGACAGGAGCUGAGGUAGGGGUUGGAGAGGCUGACCUCGAGAGGCCCCCGAGGGCCAGGAAGGAAAAGGAGUCAUUCCACUCUGAGAAGCUCAAACACAACAGACUUCACACUGCUGACGGGUGGACAGAGGCCAGGCUCCUCCCCUCGGCAGGCCUCUGUUUCUGGGCCCAGGGUGGUUGAGGACUCACUGAGGGAGAGCAGGUAAAAGAACCCGCAGACAGUAGGCGAUCAUCAGGUUUCGGGAGCGGGUCUGGAAGGGGGUCGCGGGCGGAAGUGACGUCAGACCGCGCGCG